AUACUUCCCUGGUGAGGAAGAUACUAUGGUUAGGAGAUUAGUUUGUUUAUGCUUUGGUUCAUCCAUUGCACUCCAGAAGCACUGAUUAUCCCAUAUUAACAAAAAUCACUCAGUUGUGUCAUUUGUGAUCAUGAGGGGUUGUGUUUAUGCUUUUCCUUG
ensembl:snRNA U1 U1 spliceosomal RNA